rnacentral:rRNA from 1 species
GAUGAACGCUAGCGGCAGGCCUAAUACAUGCAAGUCAAGGGGUAGCAAUACACCGGCGGACGGGUGCGUAACGCGUACACAACGUACCUCAGAGCGGGGGAUAGCAUUGGGAAACUGGUGGUAAAACCCCAUGGUGUUGUUGAAUGGCAUCAUUUAACAACUAAAGGUUACACUCUGAGAUCGGUGUGCGUCUGAUUAGCUAGUUGGUGGGGUAACGGCCCACCAAGGCGACGAUCAGUAGGGGGUGUGAGAGCAUGACCCCCCACAUGGGUACUGAGACACGGACCCAACUCCUACGGGGAGGCAGCAGUAAGGAAUAUUGGUCAAUGGACGCAAGUCUGAACCAGCCAUGCCGCGUGAAGGAUUAAGGUCCUCUGGAUUGUAAACUUCUUUUAUCUGGG